rnacentral:RNase_MRP_RNA from 1 species
CUCCUUCUAUCUCUUUGGCGAAAGUCUUCAGAUUUUUGGAUAGAAAGCAUGUCACAAACUGGAGUAUCACUUCAAGGUCUAUCCAAACUAUUGCUAAUAGUCUGUCAAAAUAUCAAUAGAAUGAUACCACGAUCCUU